UUAACUCCGCCAGAGCCCCCGGGGAGGAAGGGGGAGCCCUGGGCGCGGCGGGCUGGAGGGCGGCACGUAAUGGUGCCCCUCGCGGUUCCCGCUGCCGCCCUGGAGCGGCCGCCGCUUCUUUGUAGCGUUUCUGCCGCGUUCCAGACCCGUUUUUCACUGCGACAUGGCGCAUUAGCCCGCAAUGGCGGCCGCUGGCAGGAAGAGGGAGAAUGCGGGAGAGGCUGCGCUUCCGCCGAGCGGCCCCUCGGGCACAGCGACUGCGGCCGCCAUUUCGCUGCGCUCCAGAGUGUGGGUGGGAGAGGCCUGGCCCUCGGAUUGGGACAGGGCUGUGGGUAGCAGAGUCCCCUUCAGCUGUACCGGGGGACACAGAAGCACUUAGGUUUCCUAGAUCUAAAAGAAAGGCUGAGUUAGAGUACCCUUCCAAAAUGGCUGCUCUGAAGGAAGAGAGAGAUGUGGAAGACUACAAGAGGAAAGGAAGACGAUCCUCACAGCAGAAAUACCGUAGACUGAAUAAGGGCCAUGAGCCAAAGGAGCCGGAGCAAUUGAGAAAGCUGUUCAUUGGAGGUCUGAGCUUUGAAACAACAGAUGAUAGCUUGAGAGAGCACUUUGAAAAAUGGGGCACACUCACGGACUGUGUGGUGAUGAGAGACCCGCAAACAAAACGUUCCAGAGGCUUUGGCUUUGUGACUUACUCUUGUGUAGAGGAGGUGGAUGCUGCCAUGAGUGCUCGACCGCAUAAGGUUGAUGGGCGCGUGGUUGAACCAAAGAGAGCAGUUUCGAGGGAGGAUUCUGUAAAGCCUGGGGCACAUCUCACAGUAAAGAAAAUAUUUGUUGGUGGAAUUAAAGAAGAUACAGAAGAAUAUAAUUUAAGGGAGUACUUUGAAAAAUAUGGCAAGAUUGAAACCAUAGAAGUCAUGGAAGAUAGGCAAAGCGGAAAGAAAAGAGGCUUUGCUUUUGUAACUUUUGAUGAUCAUGAUACAGUUGAUAAAAUUGUUGUUCAGAAAUACCAUACUAUAAACGGACAUAACUGUGAAGUGAAAAAAGCACUCUCAAAACAAGAGAUGCAGACUGCUAGCUCUCAGAGAGUAAAAUAUUUUGUAGGUCGUGGGGGUGGCUCCGGCAACUUCAUGGGUCGUGGAAACUUUGGAGGCGGUGGAGGGAACUUUGGCCGAGGAGGAAACUUUGGCGGAAGAGGAAAACACUCUCAUCUGUUCUGUGUUCCAGGAGGCUAUGGGGGUGGUGGUGGCGGUGGUGGGAGCAGAGGAAGCUUUGGGGGUGGUGACGGAUACAAUGGAUUUGGUGAUGGUGGCAACUAUGGAGGUGGUCCUGGCUAUGGCAGCAGAGGAGGUUAUGGUGGUGGUGGCGGACCAGGAUAUGGAAACCCAGGUGGUGGAUAUGGAGGUGGAGGAGGAGGAUAUGAUGGCUACAAUGAAGGAGGAAACUUCGGUGGUGGUAAUUAUGGUGGAAGUGGAAACUACAAUGAUUUUGGCAAUUACAGUGGACAACAGCAGUCUAACUAUGGUCCCAUGAAAGGUGGUGGCAGCUUUGGUGGCAGAAGUUCAGGCAGUCCCUAUGGUGGUGGCUAUGGAUCUGGAAGUGGAAGUGGGGGCUAUGGUGGUAGAAGAUUCUAAAAAUGCUGCCAGAAAAAGGGUUGAAUGAGAAGCUGCUGCUUGACAAAAUGGGGAAUGUCUUGCACAUCCUCUUCAAUUGAAGGUUUCUGACUGGUAAUCCAAGUACCUCCGUAGAAGAAAAAUGGCCUUCAUGUAGAAGAUAAUAUCGCAAGAUUGGAAACAGAAUAAUGUUAUAAUAACUGGCAAAGACUUCAAGAGCAAUGGUGCUAGUGUGCUGAAAUCUUAGAACUUGUGGUUAAACAAGUUUAAAAAUAGCAUGGAAAUUAAAAAUUUCAGUAUAGUCCAUAAUGGAUUGAAAUUUGUUAAAAUAUUUCAAUUUUGUAUCAGAAUAAAGUGUAUAUUGUCAAAUGACUUAAAAUCUCAACUGCGUUGCCAUCACCCUUUUUUUAGUGCUGUGAGGAACACAAAGCGGUCUUAAAUUACUGCAACACACUGAGUUACAGGAUCAUCUUGCCGACUCAGGACUGCAAGUCAGAAAACCUUGGUUCAGCCCAGCUCCUCAGCUUUACUUUUAAUAGUUCUAAAACCGAAUGUUUUAAUCAAGAAAUAAAUGGUCUCCACGUGGAGACUUGUCAGCAUAUGAGGUCAGCAUUGUGAUGCAUUAGACUUGGCACUGUGUCACUAGUCACUCUCAGGUUUGGGAACAUACUCUGUACCUCAGUAAUGUAAUAAUAAUAAUAAAAUGAAUGAUAUAGUUUGCAAUCUGAUGUUUUCACAUAUACCAGGAUAGUCUAAUGUGGAAUAUUUUUUUCCUUGAUGAUGCUGGGUGUUUUGAUGCAAGUACAACAUUCACUGUGUUCAUGAUAUGAAAAAUACUGGUUUAAACUGAGUGCAAGUUGUUGUGGUCCGAGUUCCUUCAGACUGAUUCUUUGCCUGGUGGAAUUCAAACAAGGCUUCUGCAUGAACUGCAGGGGGUUUUUUUGUUUUUCUUUUCAUCUUGGUAAUGGAAUAAGUAUCCCUGUAUUAGUUUUUAGACACGUGGGUAGUACAAAUACAAGACCCCCUGCAAAGGCUGUAAGGAUGCUGUUUGCCUUUGGCUUUUGCAUUAGUGCUAAAAUCUCUUUUAUAGCCAAUUUGUAAUUCAGGUGUUUAUAUUACAGCUAGAGAGAACAUUUUCUCUGUAAGUCAGACAUCUGAUAGCCUAGUUAAUGGCAGGGCAGAACCCAGGAGCUCUUCCUCUUCAGGUUCUCUGUGCUUUGCCAUCAGACCUACCUGUGGGUUAGAGCCACUGUAUAUCAGUGUUGAAAGACUGCCCAGGGCCACAGCUUGGUGUGCUUCCUCCUUAAUGCCUAUGCUCUAAAAUUGGCCAUCUUUAAAUACGGAUUAGAUCCUCUUGCUUUAAAUGGCAGCAGUGUCUCCCAUUCCCCUAGUGUUCACCCAGGCUGGGAGAAGGUGAGGGGUGCUUUCCUUCCUGUGCAGUGCUGGUGGCAAAGUCGACAGAGGCACCUCCUGAACAACAGCAGCAAGAAAAAUAUCCCUUACUGCUGCACUAUCUUUGAUUCAGUUUGGCUGGUGCUUGGCUGCCCUGUCUAGAGCAAAUAAAUCUGCUUUGUCCAUCAAAUCCAGCCUCUAGGUUUUCAACCAUUGGUAAUGAACAUUUGCUCCAAAAGGAGCAUUCUUGCAUUCAGAGUAUGUCAAGGAAGGACUGUGCAGUGGGAUGGACUGACAUGCCGUUAACAAGAAGGUCAGCAUAAACAAGGUAAGCAGCCUCAAAGUGCAGAUUAGGUCACCUGGAUUUACAUUUCCCAAUGUCUUCUGCAAAACCACAAAUGUUACUACUUGAUGCAAUGGGCUGGGUUCUCAGCACUUCCAGGGAUGCUGGAAAUCUGAGGCUACAGUUUUUUUCAUGACUGUGCUGUAUCCUCCUUCAUGGGGCAGGACCUCACUUGAAAGUUGGCAGCAAGUAACACAGUAUGAGAAGUUGUAUGAAACUGCAACUUUUCUCUUAAGUUAGGCAGGGCUGGAACAUCUGAUAGUCCCAGGUUUAGGUACCAAAGACUUUCUUCUGGUACUGGUACUUGGCCAUUGCACCUGCCUUUUAAAGAGGAGACAGUAGGAUCAUGGUUGCUGGCACUACACUGCCCUGGAGCAAAACUACCUUCUUUCUUACUGAAGCUGUGGUUGCUGCUCUGCUUUCCUACCCCUGCUCUACCCUGGUUAGCUAAGGUUGUGCUGCGGACAAAGUGUAUGUGUGUGUGCAAGAGCGAGAAAGAGAGAGAGAGGGCGUGUGUGUGUAAGUUGGCUAAUAAAACCCAAAAGCUGAUUGUGAAUAGUUACACUGAUACUGCUGUGACCAGCUGGACAAUAAAAUAUCAUCUGAAAUUCUGUGCAUACAGGGAAAAACCAAAAGUACCUACAUAAUCUGUAUGCUCCAAACUCAUUAAUGCUAUUCAGGUGAGAGGGCUUGGAGUCACUAGAGAGUUGUAUGAAAGCAGCAAACAGCACAGAACAGUCAAAAAUGAGACCUUCCACAGCAUCCUGUGACAGAGUAUUCAUCAGAACUACAGCUUGCUUUACUUUUUCUGUGCUGCUUUUUUUUUUUUUUUCAGGAUGCUAACAAGGUCAAUAAAACAGCAUAUAGUAUGGAAUUGGGAUUAUGAUAAUCUAAAAUUGUUCCUUUGGCUAUCGUGGCCAGCCAUGAUAUAAAACUCCAUCACAGUUAAAAAGUUUGGGAAAUAAAAAUCUCAAGACUGAAUUCACCAACAACUAUCAUUUUAUUUAGGAUCACUCUAACUUUGUGAAUGAUGAACUAAUAGAUGGCUGUUUUCCUAAUCUGAUGUCCUUCUUUAAACCCUUUUUCCUACAACAUUAUUAAACAAUCUUUGUGGCUCCUACUCUACC